ensembl:snRNA U6 U6 spliceosomal RNA
AUGCUUGCUUUGGCAGCACAUAUACUAAAAUUGGAACAAUACAGAGAGGAUUAGCAUAGCCCCUGUGCAAGGAUUAUAUGCAAAUUUGUGAAGCAUCCAUUAAAAAG